AGAACGAACGCUGGCGGCAGGCUUAACACAUGCAAGUCGAACGCUCGUAGCAAUACGGGAGUGGCGGACGGGUGAGUAACGCGUGGGAACGUGCCCUGAGGUACGGAAUAACUGCGGGAAACUGCAGCUAAUACCGUAUGAGCCCCGUGAGGGGGAAAGAUUUAUCGCCUUAGGAGCGGCCCGCGUCGGAUUAGCUAGUUGGUGGGGUAACGGCUUACCAAGGCUUCGAUCCGUAGCUGGUCUGAGAGGACGAUCAGCCACACUGGGACUGAGACACGGCCCAGACUCCUACGGGAGGCAGCAGUGGGGAAUCUUGCGCAAUGGGGGCAACCCUGACGCAGCCAUGCCGCGUGAAUGAUGAAGGCCUUAGGGUUGUAAAGUUCUUUUGCCCGUGACGAUGAUGACGGUAACGGGAGAAUAAGCUCCGGCUAACUUCGUG
rnacentral:rRNA from 1 species